rnacentral:rRNA from 1 species
UUGUAAACUCGAUCUCAAAUCAAGUAAGACUACCCGCUGAACUUAAGCAUAUCAAUAAGCGGAGGAAAAGAAACUAACAAGGAUUCCCCUAGUAACGGCGAGUGAAGCGGGAUGAGCUCAAAUUUAAAAUCUGGCUGGUUUACUAGUCCGAAUUGUAGUUUAAAGAAGCGUUUUCGGUGGCAGCCUGGGUAUAAAUCCUUUGGAACAGGGUAUCAUAGAGGGUGAGAAUCCCGUCUUUGACUCAGUGCAUGCUACUAUGUGAUACGUUUUCAAAGAGUCGAGUUGUUUGGGAAUGCAGCUCAAAAUGGGUGGUAAAUUUCAUCUAAAGCUAAAUAUUGGCGAGAGACCGAUAGCGAACAAGUACCGUGAGGGAAAGAUGAAAAGAACUUUGAAAAGAGAGUUAAACAGUGCGUGAAAUUGUUGAAAGGGAAACGCUUGACACCAGUCAUGCGAGCGGAAAAUCAGUCUUUUGCAGUGGGGAGUUGUGUGGGUUCGGACCGCAAGGCCGGCCUGCGCUGCAUCUCUGCUGUAAGUGAUGCACUUUUUCGUUUGCAGGCCAACAUCAGUUUCUUCUGCUGGACAAAACUCUUGAGAAGGUGGCAGCUUAGGCUGUGUUAUAGCUCUUGAGCGAUACAGUGGAGGGGACUGAGGUUUUCGCAGCGCGUGCUCUCGGGCAAGGCUGAUUGGGUGCUAUGGGAUCGUUCGGUGUACAAUGCAUGCAUUUUGCGCCGUGUC